rnacentral:rRNA from 1 species
UACAGAGGUCUCAAGCGUUGUUCGGAUUCAUUGGGCGUAAAGGGUGUGUAGGUGGCGCGCUAAGUCGGGUGUGAAAUUUCGGAGCUUAACUCCGAAACUGCAUUCGAUACUGGCGUGCUUGAGGACUGGAGAGGAGACUGGAAUUUACGGUGUAGCAGUGAAAUGCGUAGAGAUCGGGAGGAACACCUGUGGCGAAGGCGGCCCCCUGGGCCGGCCCUGACACUGAGACGCGAAGGCGUGGGGAGCGAACGGG